CUUCUGUCUUCCCUGGGGAUGGGCCAAGCUAAGUAGGAAAGGCCUGAACAAGCCUUGUCCUCUGGCUUUUGACCCUCAAAGAGGUCAAAUUCCAUUAUGGUGGAGGCCAGUGGCACCCAUAAAUCACCCAAGAACCACAGCAAGAAGAGAUUUCUGAGCCCUGAUGGUAGUGUCCUUCCUUCACACAGCUGAGUGGGCUUCCUGUGAUGGAGAAGGAGUUGGACACACCUGGGCCUCAAUCCUGGCUGGGAAGUCAGUGUAACAUCUCUGGGUAUGUUUCUCAUCCAUAAAAUGGGGACAACCAUACAAAGCUGUUCUGUUUAUCAAGGAAAACCAAUUCUAACCCCGGCUGGGAAGGACGUAUGGAUGAAUCUCUGGUGUUCAUGGCGAUCACAUUUGACCUAUACCUCUUUGGAUCAUGGAUGUCUGAAUAAAAAUCUGAGUUAAAGAUGAGCUUAUAGAGAAGGCAUUGUAAGGUUUGCUGCAUGACCUAAAUUCAUGAGAGAGUGUCCAUACAUCCUUCCAAAGGAUAGUGACCAGAGGCCCUGUGACUACUUUUAAAAGUUUUGGAGGCAAAAUGGAGUCCGUGACACCAACCUGCAAACCAUUCCCUGGUCUAAGAGCUUCCUGUUCCUACACGGAGGACCAUGACCCUGGUCAACACUCCAAACACUUGGAGAUCCAUGCCAGCUCUGUGGACAGAGGAAAUCUCAUCGUUAGCCAGGGUCCAGGCAAAAGACCUGGUCCAGACAAUGAACAGCAGCCCAUAGCAUUGCUACUUCCCAGCUGUAUGACUGGAGGCCAAGCUGUCCAUUUUCUCACCUGUAAAAUGGGAGCGAUAAUGGUACCUACUUCUUUGUGUCCUUCCGAAGAUGAAUUGAUACACUGGCUCACAGGAUUUCUCAUGAAAUGAUAGCAGUUGGUUAUUAUUUUUAGCUAUGUGGGGUGGGUGAAGCUGCCCAGCCCAUCUGGCUCUGUGACUCCUUCCCCCUCGCCCCCCCCCGCCCCCCACCCAACGAUGCCCCAAACUCUCCAAAGCAUCUGAGCGAGUUGGCCACUUUCCCCUGGAUGUCUGUAGCCUGGCCUGUGGAACGCAAGCCGCCUUCUCGACCACCUGUCUGGCACACAUCUGGGCUUGAGUCACCUGCAGUCAAACUGGGUCCAACAGCAAAUGACACUCCUCCGACGGAUCAUCAGAAGGUCGAUGGUAGCCUCACACUAUGUCACAGUGCCUGGGCCAUCUGGGCCAAUCAUCUCACUUCAUCUCAGCAUGCGGGCAUUUGAUCAUCUCACAUCAGCACAGAGGAAGACUGCAGGUUUUUUGGAGACUGUGUCCAUGUUGGCUCUGCAUCCCCACCUUGCAGCGAGACUCCUGUCACAGAAGAGUGCUCAGUGAAACGGGAAUCAUGCGUGAAUGAGUGGACAGCGGUCUUUCUUUCCAUGGCCUUCUUGUGUCUGACGUGGACUCUGCGUGGACCCAGGGAUACGACAGCAUAAAGUCCCUGUGGGCCCUUCUCCAAGGGCCCUGUGAUCCGAGAUGCAUUUUCACAUUUUCUGUCCUCUACCAUUUCUACCCGAGCUUUGUCCUAAGACUCUAAGAUCCACCACCAGACCUUCAUGCCAGCGGUGGCAAGAGAGUAUCACCCAAGUGUAUUUCCUUGGGUGUCCCUCAGCCAGCAAUGAACCCUCUUAGCUCCUUCUGAGAACACCAACCCCUCUCUGCAGCUCCACUCCUGUCCUUCCCUUUCCAACAGCUUCUGUAGAGCUGACGCAGAGGUGGGAACAGUUGUCAAGCCCCCGGGUUACACGUCCAACAAGGAGAGCCAUUGGGCUAGGUCCCUGGGCCACCUCCCCAGUUCCUCCACUGGUUGAGAGUAAGAUGGUGUAACAGGGAACUGUUUACCUCUCCUAUUAAACAUCGUUUGGGGACGAGAAGAACAUAUGAGUAAAUAUAGGAAUUAAAGACAUUCUCUCAGUGUCCUAUUUAUCCCCAGGAAAGGAACAAGAAGAUAAAAGAAUGAGGGCCCUUAGAAGAAUCCAGCAGCUUCCUGAGGGUGACUCAUCCCUGGGAAUAUCUGAUAAAAAGGCUCUUUAUCUGGACACCUGGCACCAUGCAGAAUGUUCCACCGAGGUGGGCUCAGGCCCGAGAAAACAACACAUACCAGGGAUGCCUUUGCCACACAGCCUUUCCUCAGGUCAGGCUUCACACCGAGGCCCUUCCCCUCCCUCGGGUGUGGACCCCAGCCCUGGGGCACAGCUGGAGCACAGUGGUGAUAGUAUGGGCUCUGCCAUCAGACUUCCCGGGUUCAAAUCUUUCUUCUGCCACUCAGUUUACCUUAGUAGAUGUUAGUUUGCUAAUGUCCCUGGGCCUCCGUGACCUAACUGUAAAAUGGAGAUGACAGUCCCCUCACAGGUCACAGUGAGGGUGGAAUGAGUUAGUAUCUACAUAGAACAUUGCCUGGCCCUUUGUAAUUGCUCAGCAAAUAUCCGAUAUUGUUAGUGUACUCUGAGUUUAAUCCUCCUACAACAAAUUGUCUUUCUGUCCUGAAUACCAACCUAUGAAUUAGAACUUUCUAGAACCUUCUGGAAUCUUCCCGAGUUUUAGUCUGCUGCUGGCCAUCAGUGGUAGGAAUUCUCCAAAGCGUCCUCAAGGAUAGGGCCGGGGCCAAGCAGGGGCCCCCUUUCUGCUCACUCUCCUUGGUUCAAGGCCAUCUUCUUUGGGUCAGUAGGGUGUCCUCACCUAUGGGUCAAGGGGGCUGUAGCCCUGGUCUUUUGUGAUGCCUCAGGAACUCCCACAUCAUGAAAACUUUGGUGGAAAGGGGAAGGACAUGGGACUGCAGCCAGCAGAGCCCUCCAGACCCAACCUGGGGCACAAGCCCAAGGAAGAUGGCCAGAAAGCUGUUCAUCUCCUGGAGAAUUCCAGAGGCCUCGCCCAGUUUGGCUUUUACUGGAUGAUGUAAUGGACUUAAACAAAAGAAAUGUGCUCUGCUGGUGCAUACCAGUGUAGGGUUUCUCUGCCUCCCUCAGAGGACUUCCCAGAAAUCAUAUCAGCCAUGAAAAGAUGCAAUGAUUGUUUAAAGUCUGUUCCAAAAAAAAAAAAAACAAAACAAAAAAACAAAAAACAAAGUUAAAUGAUAAGAUAAAAGGACAGGCUCUCAUACAUUCAAUGCUUACUACUGAUCAAAUUACUGGACUAAACCUUUAUAUACAUCAUUUUGUUCGAUUA